rnacentral:rRNA from 1 species
CGAGCGCAACCCUUAUCGUUAGUUGCCAUCUGGUAAUGCAGGGGACUCUAGCGAAACUGCCACGUAAGGUAGAGAGGAAGGUGGGAUGACGUCAAAUCAGCAGGCCCUUAUGUCCAGGGCUACACACGUGUUACAAUGGUCGGUACAGAGGGCAGCUACCUGGUGACAGGAUGCUAAUACUCGAAAACCGGUCUCAGUUCGGAUCGAAGUCUGCAACUCGACUUCGUGAAGCUGGAUUCGCUAGUAAUCGCGCAUCAGCUAUGGCGCGGUGAAUACGUUCCCGGGCCUU